rnacentral:rRNA from 1 species
AUUGAACGCUGGCGGCAUGCCUUACACAUGCAAGUCGAACGGUAACGCGGGGCAACCUGGCGACGAGUGGCGAACGGGUGAGUAAUGCAUCGGAACGUGCCCAUCAGUGGGGGAUAGCCCGGCGAAAGCCGGAUUAAUACCGCAUACGACCUGAGGGUGAAAGCGGGGGACCGUAAGGCCUCGCGCUGAUGGAGCGGCCGAUAUCAGAUUAGGUAGUUGGGGGGGUAAAGGCUCACCAAGCCGACGAUCUGUAGCUGGUCUGAGAGGACGACCAGCCACACUGGGACUGAGACACGGCCCAGACUCCUACGGGAGGCAGCAGUGGGGAAUUUUGGACAAUGGACGCAAGUCUGAUCCAGCCAUGCCGCGUGCGGGAAGAAGGCCUUCGGGUUGUAAACCGCUUUUGUCAGGGAAGAAAAGGCUCCUUCUAAUAUAGGGGGCUCAUGACGGUACCUGAAGAAUAAGCACCGGCUAACUACGUGCCAGCCGCCGCGGUAAAAC